ACCGCGCCUAGCUCGACGGGGCGAAAGCCGGGUGCCCUACCCGGUUGGCGCGGUUCCUAAAACAGGGC
rnacentral:sRNA from 20 species